UUCAUGGCAACAGAACCCACAACAACAAUGACUUUUAUCACCAUCUUCAUCUGGGCACUUGCCUUCUGCACUCAAGAAAUUACAGGGCAGUACACUUUGACUCAGACUCCUGCAGUGAAAACUGUUCUUCCAGGAGAGUCAGUGUCACUGAGCUGUAAAGUCAGCAGUGCUGUGUUCAACAACAACUUCCUACACUGGUACCUGCAGAAACCUGGAGAAGCUCCUAAACUCCUCAUCUAUUUAGCAAGCACCCGACACACGGGGACUCCAGCUCGAUUCAGUGGCAGUGGAUCUGGGACUGACUUCACUCUGACCAUCAGUGGAGUCCAGACAGAAGAUGCAGGAGAUUACUACUGUCAGAGUCUACACUAUCCUAGUAGCACCUGGGUGUUCACACAGUGUUAG